GGGUUGUGAGGUUAAGCGACUAAGCGUACACGGUGGAUGCCCUGGCAGUCAGAGGCGAUGAAGGACGUGCUAAUCUGCGAAAAGCGUCGGUAAGGUGAUAUGAACCGUUACAGCCGGCGAUGUCCGAAUGGGGAAACCCAGUGUGAUUCGUCACACUAUCGUUAACUGAAUACAUAGGUUAACGAGGCGAACCGGGGGAACUGAAACAUCUAAGUACCCCGAGGAAAAGAAAUCAACCGAGAUUCCCCCAGUAGCGGCGAGCGAACGGGGAGCAGCCCAGAGUCUGAAUCAGCUUGUGUGUUAGUGGAACGGUCUGGAAAGUCCGACGGUACAGGGUGAUAGUCCCGUACACCAAAAUGCACAGGUUGUGAACUCGAAGAGUAGGGCGGGACACGUGGUAUCCUGUCUGAAUAUGGGGGGACCAUCCUCCAAGGCUAAAUACUCCUGACUGACCGAUAGUGAACCAGUACCGUGAGGGAAAGGCGAAAAGAACCCCGGCGAGGGGAGUGAAAAAGAACCUGAAACCGUGUACGUACAAGCAGUGGGAGCACCUUCGGGUGUGACUGCGUACCUUUUGUAUAAUGGGUCAGCGACUUAUAUUCUGUAGCAAGGUUAACCGUAUAGGGGAGCCGCAGGGAAACCGAGUCUUAACUGGGCGUUAAGUUGCAGGGUAUAGACCCGAAACCCGGUGAUCUAGCCAUGGGCAGGUUGAAGGUUGGGUAACACUAACUGGAGGACCGAACCGACUAAUGUUGAAAAAUUAGCGGAUGACUUGUGGCUGGGGGUGAAAGGCCAAUCAAACCGGGAGAUAGCUGGUUCUCCCCGAAAGCUAUUUAGGUAGCGCCUCGUGAAUUCAUCUUCGGGGGUAGAGCACUGUUUCGGCUAGGGGGUCAUCCCGACUUACCAACCCGAUGCAAACUACGAAUACCGAAGAAUGUUAUCACGGGAGACACACGGCGGGUGCUAACGUCCGUCGUGAAGAGGGAAACAACCCAGACCGCCAGCUAAGGUCCCAAAGUCAUGGUUAAGUGGGAAACGAUGUGGGAAGGCACAGACAGCCAGGAUGUUGGCUUAGAAGCAGCCAUCAUUUAAAGAAAGCGUAAUAGCUCACUGGUCGAGUCGGCCUGCGCGGAAGAUGUAACGGGGCUAAACCAUGCACCGAAGCUGCGGCAGCGACACGAUGUGUUGUUGGGUAGGGGAGCGUUCUGUAAGCCUGCGAAGGUGACCUGUGAGGGUUGCUGGAGGUAUCAGAAGUGCGAAUGCUGACAUAAGUAACGAUAAAGCGGGUGAAAAGCCCGCUCGCCGGAAGACCAAGGGUUCCUGUCCAACGUUAAUCGGGGCAGGGUGAGUCGACCCCUAAGGCGAGGCCGAAAGGCGUAGUCGAUGGGAAACAGGUUAAUAUUCCUGUACUUGGUGUUACUGCGAAGGGGGGACGGAGAAGGCUAUGUUAGCCGGGCGACGGUUGUCCCGGUUUAAGCAUGUAGGCUGAUUGUCCAGGCAAAUCCGGAUAAUCAAGGCUGAGGUGUGAUGACGAGGCACUACGGUGCUGAAGUAACAAAUGCCCUGCUUCCAGGAAAAGCCUCUAAGCAUCAGGUAACAUUAAAUCGUACCCCAAACCGACACAGGUGGUCAGGUAGAGAAUACCAAGGCGCUUGAGAGAACUCGGGUGAAGGAACUAGGCAAAAUGGUGCCGUAACUUCGGGAGAAGGCACGCUGGUGUGUAGGUGAAGCCCCUGCGGGUGGAGCUGAGACCAGUCGAAGAUACCAGCUGGCUGCAACUGUUUAUUAAAAACACAGCACUGUGCAAACACGAAAGUGGACGUAUACGGUGUGACGCCUGCCCGGUGCCGGAAGGUUAAUUGAUGGGGUUAUCCGUAAGGAGAAGCUCUUGAUCGAAGCCCCGGUAAACGGCGGCCGUAACUAUAACGGUCCUAAGGUAGCGAAAUUCCUUGUCGGGUAAGUUCCGACCUGCACGAAUGGCGUAAUGAUGGCCAGGCUGUCUCCACCCGAGACUCAGUGAAAUUGAACUCGCUGUGAAGAUGCAGUGUACCCGCGGCAAGACGGAAAGACCCCGUGAACCUUUACUAUAGCUUGACACUGAACAUUGAGCCUUGAUGUGUAGGAUAGGUGGGAGGCUUUGAAGCGUGGACGCCAGUCUGCGUGGAGCCAACCUUGAAAUACCACCCUUUAAUGUUUGAUGUUCUAACGUUGGCCCCUGACCGGGGUUGCGGACAGUGUCUGGUGGGUAGUUUGACUGGGGCGGUCUCCUCCCAAAGCGUAACGGAGGAGCACGAAGGUUAGCUAAUCCUGGUCGGACAUCAGGAGGUUAGUGCAAUGGCAUAAGCUAGCUUGACUGCGAGCGUGACGGCGCGAGCAGGUGCGAAAGCAGGUCAUAGUGAUCCGGUGGUUCUGAAUGGAAGGGCCAUCGCUCAACGGAUAAAAGGUACUCCGGGGAUAACAGGCUGAUACCGCCCAAGAGUUCAUAUCGACGGCGGUGUUUGGCACCUCGAUGUCGGCUCAUCACAUCCUGGGGCUGAAGUAGGUCCCAAGGGUAUGGCUGUUCGCCAUUUAAAGUGGUACGCGAGCUGGGUUUAGAACGUCGUGAGACAGUUCGGUCCCUAUCUGCCGUGGGCGCUGGAGAAUUGAGGGGGGCUGCUCCUAGUACGAGAGGACCGGAGUGGACGCAUCACUGGUGUUCGGGUUGUCAUGCCAAUGGCACUGCCCGGUAGCUAAAUGCGGAAGAGAUAAGUGCUGAAAGCAUCUAAGCACGAAACUUGCCCCGAGAUGAGUUCUCCCUGAGACUUUAAGUCUCCUGAAGGAACGUUGAAGACGACGACGUUGAUAGGCCGGGUGUGUAAGCGCAGCGAUGCGUUGAGCUAACCGGUACUAAUGAACCGUGAGGCUUAACCUUACAACGCCGAAG
rnacentral:rRNA from 1 species